UACGUAGGGGGCAAGCGUUGUCCGGAUUUAUUGGGCGUAAAGAGCGUGUAGGCGGCUUGGAAGGUCAGCUGUGAAAACUCGAGGCUCAACCUCGAGACGUCGGUUGAAACCACCUGGCUAGAGUCCGGAAGAGGAGAGUGGAAUUCCCGGUGUAGCGGUGAAAUGCGUAGAUAUUGGGAGGAACACCAGUGGCGAAGGCGGCUCACUGGACCGGUACUGACGCUGAGGCGCGAAAGCGUGGAGAGCAAACAGG
rnacentral:rRNA from 1 species